GCCCGCGGAUUCCAUGACGCAGCCGGGGGACUAGGGAACCCGGAUUUCGGACGGGUUGGGAGGGCGGAGGUAGGCGAGUGCUGCGGCGUGGCACGGAGUGAGGCUCCCGGCGGUCCAGCUCGGUGCCUGCUAGCUGUAGGCGUUCGGUAAAUGUUCCUCGAGUGGCUCUUCCUGGCCAGGGAAGGAGGAAGAAGUGAAGGCAGAGUGGGAGGGGCAGGUUUACGAAGAAGGCUCCAGGGGACUCUUGCGUUCGCACAGGCUAGGAGAACUCUACCUCCCGAGGAAGUCAGACUGAGGCAGAGUAGUCGAAAACGGAGGAAAUACGUGGGGAGGCAGCACUCUAGGCACGAGAUGACAAAGGACAGUAUCAUUGUGAGACCCGGGGCUCGGAGACCGUGACCCUACCUCCAGAGGCAGCCGUGCAGAUACGUGCCGGAGUGAUUUUGUUCUCUGCAGUUUAUGUGCAAGGGCGUAGGGGGUCGGGAGAGCACCGUCGUUACUAUUAAAUCUCCCGGAAAGACGGGAAAGUCUACCCGACUUGACUUCCCACUAGCCCAAUGGCCUUCUUUGAUCCUAGCAUGAAUGCAAGCAGCUGAUGAUUUGGGGUCAGUUUGCAGACUGCAAAUGUGUCGAGUGCCGCAGGUGGCGGGUGGGAAGGGCGUGAGCAUUUACUGAGCACCUAAUAUGUGCCAGGAGCAGUUGCGAGCUUGCAACUGUGAGAAAGGCGUACCAGGCUCCUGUACUCACGGGUCUUGCAUUUUUGUGGAAAGGCAGACAAUAAAGAAGAGAAUAUACAUAUCCAUGCACAAAAUAAAAGGCUGACGAACUGUUAGUACUGAGAGGAGAGCCAAGCCCAGCUUUCGAAAGUGGUUUAGUGCGUGAUGGCGCGCUCACCCUGAGGGGCCUCUAGGCGAGGGUGACUUUUACCCAGAUUCCUGAGCAUGGGAAAGGAGCUGCCACACCCAGUCUCGCUAAGAGCGUUCCAGGCGAAGGGAAUAGCAAAGACAAGGUAUUUAGCCUCCCUGAAGACCCAAAUGACCGACCUCACCCAGCUGGGCACCGCGCGUGGCUCGCUGGGCUCGGCGCCUGGCACAAAGGGCUCCACAGUGUUAAAUCCCCCUGCCAACCACCACCUGAGGCGCUCGUCGCAUUUCCAGUCUCCAAACUGACCCCAAUUCAAGGUUUCUGAGACUCUUUCCGGAGCUAUUCUGUUCACAUUUCAUUCACCACGUUCAGAUCUCUGCUUUCUGGAACCAUCCCCCUCGCGAAAUGUCUGGGACUGUCUGUUUCGGAUCUGGCAGGCGGCGGGCGAGGGCGGGAGGCGCCAGAGAUGCUGCCGAGCAAACCGACUGUCAUGCCGCCUGCGUCGGCACACGGAAAAGCUUAUUGGAGAAGAUUUCAAAUCGAAUGACUCCGCGGUUCCUAAACAACCUCGCAAAGCCCGACCAGCGCCAGGUGGCUCGAUGGGUAGUGGAAGGACGUGUCUGGCAGGCGCGCGGACAGUCCAAGGAGGCACCUUGCCCACGCCCAGCCCCGCCGCCGGAGCAGCUUAGACUGGGUUUUCCCAAACCUCCUUCCAUUUUUCUAUAAUUCCUCUCUGAGAGAGGCUUGCUCUCCCCUCCUCCUGCCAAUCCCCUCCCUCGUUCAAGCUAUUUCUUUUUCUUUUGCUCUCCACCUUCAGCCUCUCCGCCUGUUUCUUUAGCAUUGGUUUUUCUGUAGGAGACCAACCUUCAAUCGGAAAGGAAGUUAUUUGCAUAGGGCUUUGUUGUUUACACUAGCAUCCCGUUCUGGGCUUUUUCAUUAAUGUCUUCCAAAUCAAAUCAUAAUAGAGUGUACAUUCUCUCUCUUUGUGUGUGUGUGUGUGUGUGUGUGUGUGUGUGUGUGUGUGUGUGUACUUGAGGCGUUAAUUGGACAGGAUGAGAGAAUUAUUCACAUUGUGCCUUGUCCCCAAGUAAAGGAGGAAUUGUACUGUGGCUUUUCAUAGUUUCAUUUCCUCUUCUACUCCUAAAUAAGCUUCCAGGCUCUCCAGCUCCUAAAAUCUAAAGGAAAAAAAAAAAAAGUUGAAACCCACGCGGAGCUAAUUAUUCUUGAAAAAGCUUGUUAAUGUUCUAAAAUUAGCUUUCUUCUCAGUCUUAUUUUAAAAUAACGAUUUGAAUGUCUAAUAAAGAUCAGUGGUUCCA
rnacentral:lncRNA from 1 species